GACGAACGCUGGCGGCGUGCUUAACACAUGCAAGUCGAACGGAAAGGCCUGCUUUCCCUUGUGGAUUGCGGGUACUCGAGUGGCGAACGGGUGAGUAACACGUGAGUGAUCUGCCCCCAACUUGGGUAUAAGCCUGGGAAACUGGGUCUAAUUCCCGAUAGGACUGCAGGGUGGUGCCUGUGGUGGAAAACGAUUUUCUAGUGGUUGGGGAUGAGCUCGCGGCCUAUCAGCUUGUUGGUGGGGUAAUGGCCUACCAAGGCGGCGACGGGUAGCCGGCCUGGGAGGGUGGACGGCCACAGUGGGACUGAGAUACGGCCCAGACUCCUACGGGAGGCAGCAGUGGGGAAUAUUGCACAAUGGGCGGAAGCCUGAUGCAGCGACGCCGCGUGGGGGAUGACGGCCUUCGGGUUGUAAACUCCUUUCGACCGCGAGGAAGCCACCUGGUUGGAAGGGUGGUGACGGUAGUGGUAGAAGAAGCACCGGCUAACUACGUG
rnacentral:rRNA from 1 species